rnacentral:rRNA from 1 species
AGAGUGAACGCUGGCGGCAGGCCUAACACAUGCAAGUCGAACGGCAGCACAGAGGAGCUUGCUCCUUGGGUGGCGAGUGGCGGACGGGUGAGGAAUACGUCGGAAUCUGCCUAUUUGUGGGGGAUAACGUAGGGAAACUUACGCUAAUACCGCAUACGACCUACGGGUGAAAGCGGAGGACCUUCGGGCUUCGCGCAGAUAGAUGAGCCGACGUCGGAUUAGCUAGUUGGCGGGGGUAAAGGCCCACCAAGGCGACGAUCCGUAGCUGGUCUGAGAGGAUGAUCAGCCACACUGGAACUGANACACGGUCCAGACUCCUA